UUGUAGUCUGCAACCCGACUACAUGAAGCUGGAAUCGCUAGUAAUCGCGAAUCAGAAUGUCGCGGUGAAUACGUUCCCGGGUCUUGUACACACCGCCCGUCACACCAUGGGAGUCGGAAAUGCCCGAAGUCAGUGACCCAACCGCAAGGAGGGAGCUGCCGAAGGUGGAGCCGGUAACUGGGGUGAAGUCGUAACAAGGUACC
rnacentral:rRNA from 1 species